rnacentral:rRNA from 1 species
UACGUAGAGGGCAAGCGUUGUCCGGAUUUAUUGGGCGUAAAGAGCGUGUAGGCGGCUAGGUAGGUCCGUUGUGAAAACUCGAGGCUCAACCUCGAGACGUCGAUGGAAACCAUCUAGCUAGAGUCCGGAAGAGGAGAGUGGAAUUCCUGGUGUAGCGGUGAAAUGCGCAGAUAUCAGGAAGAACACCCGUGGCGAAGGCAGGUCACUGGGCCGCAACUGACGCUGAGGAGCGAAAGCAUGGGGAGCGAACAGG